AUUGAACGCUGGCGGCAGGCCUAACACAUGCACGUCGAACGAGUGGCGGACGGGUGAGUAAUGUCUGGGAAACUGCCUGAUGGAGGGGGAUAACUACUGGAAACGGUAGCUAAUACCGCAUACCAUCGGAUGUGCCCCGAUGGGAUUGGCUAGUAGGUGGGGUAACGGCUCACCUAGGCUACGAUCCCUAGCUGGUCUGAGAGGAUGACCAGCCACACUGGAACUGAGACACGGUCCAUACUGCGAAGGGAGGCAGCAGUGGGGAAUAUUGCACGAUGGGCGCAAGCGUGAUGCAGCCAUGCCGCGUGUAUGAAGAAGGCCCUCGGGUUGUAAAGUACUUUCAGCGAGGAGGCGUUACUCGCAGAAGAAGCACCGGCUAACUCCGUGCCAGCCGCCGCGGUAAUAC
rnacentral:rRNA from 1 species